GAUGAACGCUAGCGACAGGCCUAACACAUGCAAGUCGAGGGGCAGCGCAGUGUAGCAAUACACGGGCGGCGACCGGCGCACGGGUGCGUAACGCGUAUCCAACCUUCCCGUUACUCUCGGAUAGCCUUCCGAAAGGGAGAUUAAUACCGGAUGGUGUUCAAGUGGUGCAUAUUAUUUGAACUAAAGAUUUAUCGGUAACGGAUGGGGAUGCGUACCAUUAGAUAGUAGGCGGGGUAACGGCCCACCUAGUCCACGAUGGUUAGGGGUUCUGAGAGGAAGGUCCCCCACACUGGAACUGAGACACGGUCCAGACUCCUACGGGAGGCAGCAGUGAGGAAUAUUGGUCAAUGGUCGAAGGACUGAACCAGCCAUGCCGCGUGAAGGUGACGGCCCUAUGGGUCUUAAACUUCUUUUGUAAGGGAGCAAUAAGGUCUACGUGUAGGCUGAUGAGAGUACCUUACGAAUAAGCAUCGGCUAACUCCGUG
rnacentral:rRNA from 1 species